rnacentral:lncRNA from 1 species
ACAGAGACCCAACAAAUUAAAAUCCCUAACUCACGCGACUAUUUCAUCGUCUUCUUCACAAAGCCGUGUUUCAACUCGCCAAAUCCAUGGCGAGUGAUUCAAAACCCAUAACCACGCGUCCCUCCAUCUCUCCUCUUGCCGUUUCUAACGGUUUCUGAUGCCAAGAUUCCCCUCUCCUCUCAUCACUCGAAUUUGAGAUAUAUCUCACGAUUGGAAGGUUCUGGGAAGGAUUGGCUGGAUGAAUGUGAGGCGUUGGAUUGAUUUCACUCAAUCCGAGCCCCACAUUCAUCAGGAGUUCGUUUUCAAAAAGGAACCUCAUCCGAUUUUUAGGGAGAGAAUUCUGGGGGGAUCUUUUUCAGUUUUGGGGAGAAUAUUUUGGGAUUUUUCUGAAAAUUUAGGAGGGAGGAUUUUGGAGAGAUUUCUUUUAAAGAAAAUUGAAGGGAAAAAUCAGUGUUAAAAGUUUUCUUCUUCUUUUCUAUGGUUCGUUUGUUUUCUUAUAUGAGAACGGAACAAAUGUUAUGGAGUUCCCUUGAUUUCAUUUGAUGUGAGUUUUAUUGAGCAUUUCGAAAUAAUAGAGUCUCUUCAUUUCGAUUCUGGAUUUUUGAGUAAACAUGGAAGUCGUUUGAGAAGCUCGAAUCUGUUGUUGCUCGAGGAUUGAUUUUCAGCUGCUGUUUGCUUUGUUCGAUCUCAUUUCUGGGCUAGUUCAGUGUUUCGAUUUCAGGUUCUUUGACUGACUCUUCCUCUUAUUUUACUCUUUGGUGUCAUUAAAGUAGGAGGAGGGCUUAGGAUAGGCAAGUAAGAUUGGUUUGAAUUCUUGAAAUGUUGAAGUUCGAGUGUUAAUAAAAGCAUAUUGUUGGUUUUGGGUUGACGACGAGUCUGAAUGAAUCCUCCCUGAUGUGCAAAUAUGUUCUAUUUUGUGUUGUUUUUGAGUUCAAAUGUCAUACAAUCCUGAAUCUGUCUGAUUUCGACAGGCUUGAUUGAAGUCAGAUUUGGUUUAUGAGUUUGUGGUUUACUGAAGUAUGUCAAUGUCACUGCUGAGAGAAGCUCGAUUAGUUCCUUUGAUGUUUUUGCAAAGUUUUCUUGCACGUGUUGUCUGAUUUGUGUCGGUAUGAGCAGCAUAUGCAUUUCUUUAGGCUUAAAUGAAUCAAAUCCAUGUUAUUUCACAGUUGUAGGUCUGUUCUUGCUUGCAGAAAGUUGAACGUUGAUUCAUGUUCGAGCUCAGGCUAAAAUGAGAUCUGAAAUGUUGUUCAUCUUUUUCCUGAUUCGAGUUACAUUUUUGUGUCUGGUUGUAUGCUUCUAUUGGACUAUUCUGCUGAAAAUCUGCUUUGUUCUGCACUGUUGGGGCAGCAUAUUUGCACAAUUUUGAGCGUAAAUCUUGCAUUGAUUUGGUCCACAGCAGCUUUGAAUUACUAGGCAGUUUAUGUGUAUAACUGAAGUUUGUUUGGUUUCAUGAGCGUUUCAUUAAUCUUCUCUGUUUGUGAUCCUCUUUGAAAAAGAAAGGUUAUUUCCUUUAAUCUGUCUUGUUGCAAGAAGGAGUUUGAACUCGUGUUUGGUGAAAUGAAUUCUAUAUACUGACCAAGAAAGGACUGAGGCCUAUCCAAAUUAGCAUUAAGAACUUGGAAAUUCACAAGUUAGAAUGGUUUAAUAACCAUAUUUCGUUGUUUAUGACUAAACUGAAAGCAAAUAGCUCGUCCUCUGUUUUCAGUUUGCAAGUGCUUUAGGAAAGAAUUAUUCUGUCUUCAAUCUUUUGCUAUUGGUUUUAAUGAGUCUGCUUGGCAGUUUCUGACCGACUCUACCACUAAUUUCAUAUGAGAAAAGAUACAUUUCUAUAUGAAUUCUAUAGCAUUUUAAACCUGUUGAUAUUUUGUAUAAAGUUGGGUUUUUUUUUGGUCCAAUAUAUGUUGUAAGAACGAGGGGGCGAAAUGGCUUUAGUCAAAACAAUUGAAGCAUCUGAUCCUUGUGAUGGUCACUUAGGAUACUUUGUACUCAAGCUUUGAAUUUACUUCUUGAAUUUGUUUGCAUGAAAAUUCGAUUGCUCUUCCAGUAUGACCACCCCUGGUUCUUGGAAGGAUGAUUUUUGUCUGAUCAUAAUAGUGAGAAUUUGGUUAUCACCUGUUAUAUUCGUAGGAAUAUGUUUUUAGGCAUUCUCUUAUUAUACCUAUCGGGAUUGUGUACAUGUUCGCGUGACAUAAUUACGAUCCCUUAAAAUUAGAAUCGAGGUGUGCCGUGCCAAAUAAAACCUUAAAUUGCAUGGCCCUCGUUUAAUUAAUCUUGUUUACCCUUAGAAUUCGAGGCACGCCAUUUAGCAAAUUUCCAUGGCCCUCGCAAAGAUAAAAACGCGUAGUUGUUGUAGGCGCGUUAUUUUAAUAACAUUACCUUCCUAAACCGGGUGUGCAUUUCAUGUGACCCAAAUCCAAAUCUUAAUAACGUUGAAUAAAACGUAUUUCGGAUUGCGGGUGCAUUUCAUGUGGCGCGGUCCAAAAACAUGUUUUAGACGACGUUAAAUCUUUUUUAAAAUAAAUAAAAGCAGUUUUGAAGUUAAAAUGCACAUAGGUUCAAAAUGUAUUAAAAUCAGAUAAUAGGCCAAUAAUAACAGUUGAGUGACCGUGCUAGAACCGCGGAACUCGGGAAUGCCUAAUACCUUCUCCCGGGUUAACAGAAUUCCUUACCCGGAUUUCCACGUUCGCGGACUGUAAUACAGAGUCAACCUUUUCCUCGAUUCAGGAUUUGAACCGGUGACUUGGGAAUCAUAAAAUUAUUCCAAGUGGCGACUCUGAAUCUUCAAAAUAAUCUCGUUUUGAUUGUCACUUUAAUUGGACAAACUCCCUUAUACCCCUUUACGGGGGUAUAGGUAAAAAGGAGGUGUGAUAGCUCUGGCGACUCUGCUGGGGAUCGAACCCAGAAUCUCUGUUUCAGGGUUCAAGAAUUCAAGCUUAGAUGAAUUGUUAUAGUUGGCUUUAUUAAUUAUCUGAUUUUUUUACAUGUUUGGGUCUAAUGUGCUAAGUGUUGCUUUUACCGCUUUGAUAUUCUGUGAAUUGUAUAUAAACUACUACGAAACUCUUCUUCUCUCUGAGUCUUCUAAAUCAUGGAGGAGGGUGCACUUCGUGUGACUUCUCUUCUAUUAGAGUCAUAUCCCAAAUUUUAGAACGAGGUUCGGACAAGUUUCAAAGCCGGUGAAGCUUCUGUAUUCCCGGUAUGCUGCCCCCCACCCUCGGCCCGAGUUGUCCGCUCGGGUAAGCCAGGUCUAGAACAAUAAACUCAGGUUUUAAAUCAAGUAUAACAAGGCCUCGUGCCGGAUCCCUAGUAGGAACGUUUGCUUGCAUCACGUGCAUUUGACUUUGGAGACUCAACAAAAGGGUUGGGUCUGUCUAGGACAGGUGUACCAAAAAUGAAAAGACCAUCCUGAUGCAUCUUACUUGCUACUUGUGCAUUUAUUUGAUUUGGAUUUGCAUGCUGACCGGCUUUUGAAUAAUGGGAGAAAGUUGGAAAAAAGAGAAUAGCAAUGUGAGGGUUAAGUGAGUUAAAUCACCUGUUUUGGAAAACCAAUGUCCAAAUUGUACUGAAACUCUGCCGAAUUUUUUUUUUUAGAAAAUGAAAAAAAAACGGUUUUGUUUUGAAAAAUAGUUGGUUUUAUUUUAUUUGCCCGAACUACGCCAGUUUGAUUCUCACAGGAUAUGAGAUACGUAGGCAACCCCCAUCGGGUCCAACUUCCCUUUUGCAAAAAUAGCCCAAAAGAACAAAAAUUUUAAUUUUAUUGCAAAUAAGUAAGGUGAUGUCAUUCUUGUCUAAAAUAGCCGAAUGUCCCCAAAAGGGCGUCGGAAGGCCGUUUUUGCAAGAAAAGCCACCUUUGGUCAUUUUUCAAGGUUUUUGCCGGUUAGCGAACACAGCCUUAAAAUUUUCGUUUUUGGAGUGCUGAAAGGUCGUAUUGGUAAAGCCGGAUAUUUUUGUGAAAAUUUUGNNNNNNNNNNNNNNNNNNNNNNNNNNNNNNNNNNNNNNNNNNNNNNNNNNNNNNNNNNNNNNNNNNNNNNNNNNNNNNNNNNNNNNNNNNNNNNNNNNNNNNNNNNNNNNNNNNNNNNNNNNNNNNNNNNNNNNNNNNNNNNNNNNNNNNNNNNNNNNNNNNNNNNNNNNNNNNNNNNNNNNNNNNNNNNNNNNNNNNNNNNNNNNNNNNNNNNNNNNNNNNNNNNNNNNNNNNNNGGGACCCAGCACAUAAUGUAUUCCACUUUGCUGAUUUCGAGUUAACUCCUACACUGGAAGAGAUAGCAGGCUACGCCGGUUUCGAGAGGAAUCUUAGAAAUCAAUACACGGUAGCACCGAGAACAGUAACCCCUCACAAAUUUUUGGACUUGUUAAGCAUCAGUCGGGACAUCCGAGACGGAAAUUUGGCCAAAAGAUUCUGUACCUUCUACUUUUUGUACCAACGUUACGGGAAUCCUCGUGGCUUCGAGACGUCAGAUACCGGUCUUACUCACGUGGGAAACCAAGACAAGUGGGAAGCUCGGAGAGGAUUAGCUUUUAUAAUGGCGUUCCUGGGUACUUUGAUUUGCCCCAGAAAAGACGGGAACAUAGAGUUGGGACUCGUGGGGAUAGUCGACUUUAUGAUGAAAAAGGCAAAUGGGACCAUAGUGCCGAUGAUUUUGGUUUGACCCUUUGUCGAGAAGGAGGAAAGUUCUUUGAAGGGUGCAAUAUGCUGGUACAAUUAUGGAUGGAGGAACACCUUUACCACCGUCCUGGAUACUUGAAUUGUGGUAUGAAUGGCCUCGAGUGCAUUGAAAAACAUUAAAAGCGGCAGAGGGUUAUGAGUUUCCGGAUGAUACGGAAGCAUGACAUGCUCAUUUGAGACCUUUGACUGCAAAUAAGAUCGAAUGGACAUUCGGCUGGCUCUCGGUCUGUGAAGUAAUUUAUAUGUCGGCUGAGGUAUGUUUUCUGCUGUUGAUGGGUCUUCGGAGUAUCCAGCCUUAUGCUCCGCACCGAGUUCUACGUCAGUUAGGCCGUUGUUUUAAAUCUAUGCUCACUUUUAAUGCACAGGGCUCCAAUUUUAACUCAUAUCCAUUUUUAAUCAUGACAAACAACAGUGAUGAAGAUUAUAUGAAGAAGAUGAAUCAAAUUUUACCAAGAAAAUUCAGGUCAAGGGGAGAAUUAUUAGGUUUUUACCCUGAAUUUUUAAUCUAUUAGGACUCUCUUUCUUGAAGGAAGCAAAAAAGACUCCUAAAAGAAAUAAAUCUCUUUCAUAUGCCUUAUCCUUUUCUUAGAGGUACUUCUAUAAAUUGACCUUUUUUUCUCACAACAAGAACAACAACAACCUUCAUAAUGUAGUCGUUAGAAGGAUCAUGCUUAGAUGAGAUUAUUCUCCCAAAAAUUUAUUUUCUUUUUAUAGUAAUAAUAAUAGAUCAUAUGUAGAUCGAUUGACCAACCCAUAAUAAAUUAUUAUGCCUAGUUUAGUAUAUAUUUAUUUCAUCGUCUCAAAAGUUUGCAUUGUUAGUUUCUGCAUGCAUCAUGUUUUUUCGAUCCCAACAAUUAUCUCUUCUUUUUCUUUUGUAACGGUAGUGUUUGAAUCAACUCGCCCACUUCUCGACCGUUUCACCAAAUACCAAUUACUCCACACCAACAUAAGUAUUCGAGAUAAUAAUGGUAGCGUUCGAAUGAAUUUGCGCACAUCUCGGCUAUUCCACUAAUUACUUCACACCAACAUAGGCAUCCAGUGACUUCGACUCAAACUUGUCUCGAUUAAUCCAAUUACUCCGCACCAACAUAGAUAUCAGGUGACCCGACUAUGUUUGGUAUGUGAGUACUUAACGGGCAUCAUUUCUUUGAUUGCAUUAUUUUCAAAUCAAUGCAGGCUACAUAAGCAAACAUGUGCAGCAGUAUACGAUGUACAUUAGGUAUAACGUCCUUUGCCUAUAAAAUAAAUUCAGGGGAUUUCAGAACCAUACUUCAGGUGUAAUCUUUUGCUGUAAGAGUUCAAAAUCAAGGCAGGUUGCAGUCAUUUAACUACCAGUUAUCAAUUAGGUCAGUGCACGGUUCAUAGCAGGAACCAAGACUUCAAAUGGAGGACAAAAAGAAUGAUAUUUACAGGUAGGGCGAAUGCAUGGUCGUUGGUGAAGAUAAAUUAGUUAAC